rnacentral:lncRNA from 1 species
CCACUAAUCCACAGAAUAUUAUAUUGCAUAGCAUUUAAUUGGAACAAUCAUAUUCAUUGCAAUUCAGAAUAAACAGCAUAACAGAGCUUAGAUUUUUGUUUUUGUUUUUGUUUAAUUGCAGCCUCCUAUAAUACUUCUUAAUUGUAGGACCAGUUUCAGAAAAGAUAAUUCAUAAACUGAACCCAAAAUAUAGCAUUUCCUAGCAAGGAAUCAUAGCAUGAAAGAAGUUCAGAGUGAACAAGGAGAGCUAAGUACUAGUCUAGAAGUCAAUGCUGUCAUUGUUCAACCAGCAGCUGCUUCCAAUUCUGGAGUAGCUUCCACUUCAAAACAGUAACAAGGGAAUCCCUCAUACCCCAGGCUCCAUUUCUUGUUAUCAUGGCUGUGCAACUGAGUAUAUUGGGCUUAAGGGAAAUGACAGUUAAUACUUAUUUCUGAGUUUCACACUAACAUGAUUAUGGUUAGUAUCACCUUAUUGUAUUCGUAUCAAUAUUUUCUUGGGCCAGGACAGCAGUUUCAGCUUAUAAUUAUCUGUUGUCUUAUGACUAGUAUUACUUUCGAAAUAAUAAUAAAAAAGCAAAAACACAUGCUGUGUGUGAACUGCAAUUGACACUCCCACAUCUUUGUCUUUCAGACAAAAAUGUUCAGAUGCCACUGUCAAGGACUUGUUAAAUGGUACAUCUCUGGAACUUGUAGGAACUUGUCUCAAAACACUUAUGUAAUCUUCUUCCUCAAAGAAAGAAUCUGUUUGGAGAGACUCUUGGUUGACCAUCUACCCUCAGACCAAAGAUCUCAUCAUUGGAUCCCCAGUUACCAUAGUGGACAUGGUCUAUCAUGGAGAAGGUACCUGUGCUAAGAUCAAACAAAACCGAAGAAGUCUCAGUCAUCUUAGAAGAAGAAUAGAAGCAACAUGAAACACAGCGAUACAUAAUAGAGUGAGAAAU